UCAGAAUAUCCUUAGAUGCCUGACUGAUGUUGCUAAGUCUGAGACUGCAAUUUUGGCCUCUGUUGCAAUGGAAGCUUUAGGUCAUAUUGGGCUACGUGUACCAUUGCCUCCGCUUUGUGAUAGUUCAGGUUCAGUGGAGAUUCUGUCGCUCUUACAUGAAAAGUUGAGCAAACUACUCUCUGGCGAUGACAUUAAAGCAAUUCAGAAAAUUGUUAUCUCCCUUGGACAUAUAUGUGUAAAGGAAACAUCAUCUUCACACUUGAAUAUUGCUCUUGAUUUGAUUUUUAGUCUGUGUCGGUGC
rnacentral:misc_RNA from 1 species